AGCAGCAUCCGGCCGGGCGGUCACGGCCACAGCAUCCUGACGCCAGGGAGCACCGCGGACGCGAUGGGCAGAGCGAGGGGACGUUCCGAGAGCAGCCAGAAAGAGAAGCCAUUGCCACAAGAUGGACAAAGACCAUUAUGUCAUGCAGAGGAGCAUCACCCUCACUCCAGCUUGCCCUGGUUCCCCUCCCCAAGGCUUGUUAACUUGGACUUGUGCUGAGGCUGAACUGCAGGGAGAGAUAAGCGAUGAAGACUGAGUGACCCAGCAUGUGAAUUUUACAGAGAGAAGUGCCUCAAACUACAUAACGUGCUCCUGUAGAAGCUCGGCCCUUUGCCUGCCCACACUUUUUUCAGUAAUGUAUAAGUUUCUAUUUUUUCUUAAUAAAAUCAUGUUUCCAAUUUUCUUACUAAAAACAUACAACAGGAAUGCAGAUAAUGUUCAUUAGCUAUGGCAAAUUAAAAUUAUCUAAUAAUGUCAGCAAAACAUAUUGAGUUAAUAUCCAUUUUAAGGAGAGAAAAUUAAAGAACAAAGAUUAUACCUAGAUAUACAAAUAUCUGCUGUUGGAAUCCAAAAUAAAAGUCUCCUGACUCCCUCAGAGAGAAAAAAGAAUUAAAAUAUAUUAAACCACAUAGACAUGAAGUAAGAAUGUAGGUUUUAGUUUUAAGUAAGUUCUAAUAUAGCUUAAGUGCCUUAAGAGCCUGUUACCUAGUGAAAAGCCUUAUUACCCAGUUGAAAGUUCAGUGAUACCCUUCACAGAUUCAACUUAGCCCUAGACACAAUAUAAAUUAGAGUAAGAACAUACCUUACACUUCUAGAUAGAACAGCUAGAACUGUACAUGUAAACGUACAGUACCAUAUAUAAGAUUUAGGUAAAGAGAACACUGCUUUUGCAUGUUAGAUUA